UGAGGAAUAUUGGUCAAUGGGCGCGAGCCUGAACCAGCCAAGUCGCGUGAGGGAUGACGGCCCUACGGGUUGUAAACCUCUUUUGUCGGGGAGCAAAUUCCGCCACGUGUGGCGGAGUCGAGAGUACCCGAAGAAAAAGCAUCGGCUAACUCCGUGCCAGCAGCCGCGGUAAUACGGAGGAUGCGAGCGUUAUCCGGAUUUAUUGGGUUUAAAGGGUGCGUAGGCGGACUGUCAAGUCAGCGGUAAAAUACGGGGGCUCAACCUCCGCCCGCCGUUGAAACUGCAGUGCUAGAGAAGGCGAGAGGUACGCGGAAUGCGCAGUGUAGCGGUGAAAUGCUUAGAUAUUGCGCAGAACUCCGAUUGCGAAGGCAGCGUACUGGCGCCUGACUGACGCUGAGGCACGAAAGCGUGGGGAUCGAACAGGAUUAGAUACC
rnacentral:rRNA from 1 species